GACGAACGCUGGCGGCGUGCCUAAUACAUGCAAGUAGGACGCAGUUGCGAACGGGUUAGUAACGCGUAGGUAACUGCCUAUUAGAGGGGGAGAACUAUUGUAAACGAUAGCUAAUACCGCAUACUAGUAGAUGGACCUGCGUUGUAUUAGAUAAUAGGUAGGGUAAUGGCCUACCUAGGCGACGAUACAUAGCCGACCUGAGAGUGUCAUCGGCAACACUGUAGCUGAGACACGGCCCAGACUCUUACGGGCGGCGGCAGUAGGGAUUGUUCGGAAAUGGGGGGAAGCCCGACCGAGCAACGCCGAGUGAGUGCAGCAGGUUUGCGCAUCGUACAGCUCUGUCGUUAAGGAAGGAGUAGUUAACCAGAAAGGGACGGCUAAAUACGUGCCAGCAGCCGCGGUAAUUC
rnacentral:rRNA from 1 species